AUACGAUAGGAAGCUUUGAAACCAAUCUGUAUUUGGGCGCUUAUGGUUGGUCGAGCUAGUAGCGCAACCGGCCGCAUUGAUU
rnacentral:ncRNA from 2 species